CACACGCACACGGUAGGUACCUAUCUCACCGUGUAUGACGUACACGCGCGUGCGCACACGCACACACACCGUAAGUCCGUAUUAUAAUAAUAUUGUACGAACCGGUUUAUACGAAGACUUCACGGACUGCUGCUGCUGUCGCUGUUGCUGCUGCUGCGGUCGUAAUGUGUAUUCCAACAGCAGGCUGCGCUUAUCAACGGGCGCGAGGAUUUAUACUGGAACGAAUUCAGAGGUCGAUUCCGGGCAUACAGACUGUAUAAUAAUAUAAGUACAAGGCUUUGUUGUUUAUUAGAUGUGUAUUGAGGACCAAAAACGAAUACAAAACGAAAUUAUCUAGAAUACAAGGAAAACUGUACCGACCGGAACUACCUUUCAGAGCAAACGCGUGGGCGGAGACAAUAAUGUAGGCCUUUGUAUUAUAAUAAUAUGUACAUAGUAUAUUAUACGUGCAUCAGUGGCCGUGAACGACAACAAUAAAACUGUUUUUAAAUGAAAAUAUGUCCACUUUAAAUCAUGAGGGGUUUCCGUAUUCCGUUGAAAAGUGAACCGUAACAGAAAAUUUGAUCUAUCCUCGUCAAAAUUGAAAUAUCUAUAUGUAUUCUACGAUGAUUUUUGUUUUUAAUAUUCAAGGGUUUACCGGUCACAAAUAAUGACUUGAAUUCAGAAAAAUUGUGAUUUGUAACUGUAUUCAUGUCGUUUGAAAGUGUCAUCAUCAUAAUAUUAUAUUUUUGGUAAAAUUGCCAUUAUAUUUAAAGAAAUUAUUGAAAUAAUUAUCCGAAACUUGGUUACAUCUUAUAUACAGCCAACAGGGCUAAAGUUUUGAGAAGUUCGAUAUUAUAAAAUAAAACUUAUUGACCAUUAUUAAAAUGUCGAGCACAACAUAAAAUUAACAAUUUAUUUUGUUUUACGACAUCAAACUUCUCAAAAUUCUUUAUCAAAAUAUUCAAAACAAUUUAAUCAUUUUUUAAUAUAAGUUCCAAGUAGCUCCUAUAUUUUUUAUUAAACAACCAUAUAAUAACAGUAAGCAUUUUUUGUAUAAACCAUCCAUCAAAUUCCUAUCAUAAUUAUUUAUUAUUGAAUUUAAGUGAAUAAUACUCCACUGAAGUUUUUCACUACGAAUUAACUUCAAUCUAUAAUCAUACAUCCAGCCUUGGAAUCUUGUAAAAAUUUUCACUAGAUAAUUUCAAUUUAUUAUAAACCAAAUCAAGAAUUAGUUA